CCUACGGGAGGCAGCAGUAGGGAAUUUUGCUCAAUGGGCGAAAGCCUGACGCAGCAACGCCGCGUGAUCGAGACGCCCUUCGGGGUUUAAAGAUCUGUCAGUUCGGGCGAAACUUGACGGUACCCACAGAGUAAGCACCGGCUAACUCCGUGCCAGCAGCCGCGGUAAUACGGGGGGUGCAAGCGUUGUCCGGAAUCAAUGGGCGUAAAGAGUUCGUAGGCGGGAUGUAAAGUCUGAGGUUAAAGGCGCAGGCUCAACAUUAGUACGGCAGUGGAUACUUGCGGGCUAGAGUGCGGGAGAGGUAGGGGGAAUGCGUGGUGUAGCGGUGAAAUGCUUAGAGAUCAAGAGGAACAUCGAUGGCGAAGGCGAUUUACUGGACCGUAAUUGACGCUGAGGAACGAAAGCGAGGGUAGCAAAUAGGAUUAGAUACCCCGGUAGUC
rnacentral:rRNA from 1 species